rnacentral:rRNA from 1 species
UGCGAGCGUUAUCCGGAAUUACUGGGUUUAAAGGGUGCGUAGGCGGCUAUGUAAGUCAGGAGUGAAAGUUUGCGGCUCAACCGUAAAAUUGCUUUUGAUACUGCAUGGCUAGAAUUAGGAUGAGGUCAGCGGAAUGUGGCAUGUAGCGGUGAAAUGCAUAGAUAUGCCAUAGAACACCAAUUGCGAAGGCAGCUGGCUAGACCUGGAUUGACGCUGAGGCACGAAAGCGUGGGGAGCGAACAGG